UGGGGAAUAUUGCACAAUGGACGGAAGUCUGAUGCAGCAACGCCGCGUGCGGGAUGACGGCCUUCGGGUUGUAAACCGCUUUUUCUUAUGACGAAGUUUUUUGACGGUAGUGGGGGAAGAAGCACCGGCUAACUACGUGCCAGCAGCCGCGGUGAUACGUAGGGUGCGAGCGUUGUCCGGCAUUAUUGGGCGUAAAGAGCUUGUAGGCGGUUUGUCGCGUCGAUAGUGCAAACUCAGUGCUUAACGCUGAGCCUGCUGUUGAUACGGGCAGACUAGAGGAAGGUAGGGGAGAAUGUAAUUCCCGGUGGGGCUGUGGAAUGCGCAGAUAUCGGGAGGAACACCGGUGGCGAAGGCGGUUCUCUGGGCCUUUCCUGACGCUGAGAAGCGAAAGCGUGGGGAGCGAACAGG
rnacentral:rRNA from 1 species